ACAAGAAGGGCCACCUCAUCAGGGGCAAGUCGUUCUGAAUGAUGCAUGACACCAACAAGCUGGUGAUAACUGUCACUAUCUCCCGUUUGGACAGAGAUAAGAGCAUCUCUGACAUGAUAAACCAGCUCAGAAUCACUGAAAUUAACAUCCUCCAUUUCGUGAAACUCUCCGUUAUGGGCCAAUUCUACACCCAUAUGGCUAAGGCUCCUUAACUCUCUGUUCUUCUAUUGUGUUGUCCACUAUCAAUGAACUGAGCUAGUGCGCUAAGUUGUCGGAGAAGUGCUGAGAGAGAAAAAGAAACGGUGGAUGAGUUGACGAGUGAAUUGGCGUAAAUAGGGUUGGGCGGCUGGCUCUUCCUCCUCCUACUUUGCUGUUUCGUUUAUUUGUUG
rnacentral:misc_RNA from 1 species